rnacentral:rRNA from 1 species
CGAACGGGUGAGUAACGCUGGGGAAUCUGCCUUUGANCGGGGGACAACAUUUGGAAACGAAUGCUAAUACCGCAUAAAAACUUUAAACACAAGUUUAAGUUUGAAAGAUGCAAUUGCAUCACUCAAAGAUGAUCCCGCGUUGUAUUAGCUAGUUGGUGAGGUAAAGGCUCACCAAGGCGAUGAUACAUAGCCGACCUGAGAGGGUGAUCGGCCACAUUGGGACUGAGACACGGCCCAAACUCCUACGGAAGGCAGCAG